rnacentral:rRNA from 1 species
UUUUUUUUUUUUUUUUUUUUUUUUUUUUUUUUUUUUUUUUUUUUUUUUUGAGUACCGUCUGGUUUUCUGCCUGCUGGUAGUGGUGAUUACUACUGUUUUCUUUUAUCUAUUAUUGUAUAACGACGCAAGACCAAAGAGGGGGACCUUCGGGCCUCUUGCCAUCGGAUGUGCCCAGAUGGGAUUAGCUAGUAGGUGGGGUAACGGCUCACCUAGGCGACGAUCCCUAGCUGGUCUGAGAGGAUGACCAGCCACACUGGAACUGAGACACGGUCCAGACUCCUACGGGAGGCAGCAGUGGGGAAUAUUGCACAAUGGGCGCAAGCCUGAUGCAGCCAUGCCGCGUGUAUGAAGAAGGCCUUCGGGUUGAAAAGUACUUUCAGCGGGGAGGAAGGGAGUAAAGUAAAUACCUUUGCUCAUUGACGUUACCCGCAGAAGAAGCACCGGCUAACUCCGAGCCAGCAGCCGCGGUAAUACGGAGGGCGCAAGCGUUAAUCGGAAUUACUGGGCGUAAAGCGCACGCAGGCGGUUUGUUAAGUCAGAUGUGAAAUCCCCGGGCUCAACCUGGGAACUGCAUCUGAUACUGGCAAGCUUGAGUCUCGUAGAGGGGGGUAGAACUCCAUG